AUACUUACCUGGCAGGGGAGACACCAUGAUCACGAAGGUGGUUUUCCCAGGGCGAGGCUUAUCCAUUGCACUCUGGAUGUGCUGACCCCUGUGAUUUCCCCAAAUGUGGGAAACUCGACUGCAUAAUUUGUGGUAGUGGGGGACUGUGUAAAAAAAAAUUCAUUUUUCUUUGCAUUUCUCUC
rnacentral:snRNA from 1 species